rnacentral:rRNA from 1 species
UCUGGUGACGAUAGCAGAAGGGUCACACCUGUUCCCAUACCGAACACAGAAGUUAAGCCUUCUAACGCUGAUGGUACUUGAGUGG